CCAUAUCUUCAAUUAGAAAGAUUUCAGAUUUGAGUUCUAAUUUGAACUUUCAAAAUGGACAAGAAACAUUACCAAAGUGUUGGAGUCCAGCUCGUGAAACAGAAAAAACAUUAGAAAAGACAAUUAACGAAGUCUCAGUUACAACAGACAUUGAAACACAAUUAGCGUCAAUUAGAUCACCUGAAAAUGCUCCUGGAUUUUCCUCCUACCAACAAUUCAACAUACUGACAGGAUCCAAACAUAUCAGCACUAUAUACAAGAACACAUAAUCAGUUAAGAGUAUUUUGGAAUG